rnacentral:rRNA from 1 species
GAUGAACGCUAGCUACAGGCUUAACACAUGCAAGUCGAGGGGCCGGCGCACGGGUGAGUAACGCGUAUCCACCCUUCCCAUUACUGUGGGAUAACCUGCCGAAAGGCAGACUAAUACCGCAUAGUAAUGGAUGGGGAUGCGUGUGAUUAGCUUGUUGGCGGGGGAACGGCCCACCAAGGCGACGAUCAGUAGGGGUUCUGAGAGGAAGCCCCCCCACAAUGGAGAUGAGACCCGGUCCAAACUCCGACGCGAGGCAGGAGUGAGGAAUAUUGGGGAAUGGACGGAAGUCUGAACCUGCCAAGUAGAGGGCAGGAGGACGGCCUAUGAGUUGUAAACUGCUUUUGUAUGGGGAGAGGUACCAUACGAAGAAGGACCGGCUAAUUCCGUGCCAGCAGCCGCGGUAAUUC